rnacentral:rRNA from 1 species
GUCGAACGGAUUACCUUUGUAGCUUGCUACGAAGGUGGUUAGUGGCAGACGGGUGAGUAAUGCAUAGGAAUCUACCUAGUAGUAUAGGAUAGCCACUAGAAAUGGUGGGUAAUACUGUAUAAUCCCUGCGGGGGAAAGAUUUAUCGCUACAUGAUGAGCCUAUGUUAGAUUAGCUAGUUGGUAGGGUAAAGGCCUACCAAGGCGAUGAUCUAUAGCUGGUCUGAGAGGAUGAUCAGCCACACUGGAACUGAGAUACGGUCCAGACUCCUACGGGAGGCAGCAGUGGGGAAUAUUGGACAAUGGGCGCAAGCCUGAUCCAGCUAUGCCGCGUGAGUGAGGAAGGCCUUAGGGUUGUAAAACUCUUUCAGUAGGGAAGAUAAUGACGGUACCUACAGAAGAAGUCCCGGCAAACUCCGUGCCAGCAGCCGCGGUAAUACGGAGGGGGCAAGCGUUGUUCGGAAUUAUUGGGCGUAAAGGGCAUGUAGGCGGUUCGGUAAGUUAAAGGUGAAAUGCCAGGGCUUAACCCUGGAGCUGCUUUUAAUACUGCCAGACUUGAGUCCGGAAGAGGAUAGCGGAAUUCCUAGUGUAGAGGUGAAAUUCGUAGAUAUUAGGAGGAACACCAGUGGCGAAGGCGGCUAUCUGGUCCGGUACUGACGCUGAGGUGCGAAAGCGUGGG